CAAGGAAUUUUCUGCAAUGGGCGCAAGCCUGACAGAGCAACGCCGCGUGCGGGAGGACGCCCUUCGGGGUGUAAACCGCUUUUAGCGGGGACGAAGCUAAUGACGGUACCCGCUGAAUAAGGCCCGGCUAACUACGUGCCAGCAGCCGCGGUAACACGUAGGGGCCGAGCGUUGUCCGGAAUUACUGGGCGUAAAGGGCGCGCAGGCGGCCUGCUGCAUCACCGGUGAAAGCCCCGCGCUCAACGCGGGAGGGUCCGGUGAGAUGAGCAGGCUGGAGGCAGGGCGAGGGCGGUGGAAUUCCGGGUGUAGUGGUGAAAUGCGUAGAGAUCCGGAGGAACACCAGUGGCGAAGGCGGCCGCCUGGACCUGACCUGACGCUGAGGCGCGAAGGCGUGGGGAGCGAACGG
rnacentral:rRNA from 1 species